rnacentral:rRNA from 1 species
CGGACGGGUGAGUAAUGUCUGGGAAACUGCCUGAUGGAGGGGGAUAACUACUGGAAACGGUAGCUAAUACCGCAUAACGUCGCAAGACCAAAGAGGGGGACCUUCGGGCCUCUUGCCGUCGGAUGUGCCCAGAUGGGAUUAGCUAGUAGGUGGGGUAAAGGCUCACCUAGGCGACGAUCCCUAGCUGGUCUGAGAGGAUGACCAGCCACACUGGAACUGAGACACGGUCCAG